rnacentral:rRNA from 1 species
UACGGGGGGGGUAAGCGUUGUUCGGAAUUACUGGGCGUAAAGGGCUCGUAGGCGGCCAACUAAGUCAGACGUGAAAUCCCUCAGCUUAACCGGGGAACUGCGUCUGAUACUGGAUGGCUUGAGUUUGGGAGAGGGACGCGGAAUUCCAGGUGUAGCGGUGAAAUGCGUAGAUAUCUGGAGGAACACCGGUGGCGAAGGCGGCGUCCUGGACCAACACUGACACUGAUGAGCGAAAGCCAGGGGAGCAAACGGG